ACAGAGACACAGCCAUCCGCCACCACCGCUGCCGCAGCCUGGCUGGGGAGGGGGCCAGCCCCCCAGGCCCCCUACCCCACUGAGGUGGCCAGAAUGGAUUUGUGGCCAGGGGCAUGGAUGCUGCUGCUGCUGCUCUUCCUGCUGCUGCUCUUCCUGCUGCCCACCCUGUGGUUCUGCAGCCCCAGUGCCAAGUACUUCUUCAAGAUGGCCUUCUACAAUGGCUGGAUCCUCUUCCUGGCUGUGCUUGCCAUCCCUGUGUGUGCCGUGCGAGGACGCAACGUCGAGAACAUGAAGUGAGGGGCAAGGGGUCUUGGGCAAUGAGGGAACAUAGGGGUACAAAGAUCUUGCGUCUAAUGCUGCUCCACAUCAAAUACCUGUACGGGAUCCGAGUGGAGGUGCGAGGGGCUCACCACUUCCCUCCCUCGCAGCCCUAUGUUGUUGUCUCCAACCACCAGAGCUCUCUCGAUCUGCUUGGGAUGAUGGAAGUACUGCCAGGCCGCUGUGUGCCCAUUGCCAAGCGCGAGCUACUGUGGGCUGGCUCUGCCGGGCUGGCCUGCUGGCUGGCAGGAGUCAUCUUCAUCGACCGGAAGCGCACGGGGGAUGCCAUCAGUGUCAUGUCUGAGGUCGCCCAGACCCUGCUCACCCAGGACGUGAGGGUCUGGGUGUUUCCUGAGGGAACGAGAAACCACAAUGGCUCCAUGCUGCCCUUCAAACGUGGCGCCUUCCAUCUUGCAGUGCAGGCCCAG
rnacentral:sRNA from 1 species